rnacentral:snRNA from 1 species
AUCGCUUGGCCUUUUGGCUAAGAUCAAGUGUAGUAUCUGUUCUUAUCAGUUUAAUAUCUAUCUGAGGACAAUAUAUUAAAUGGAUUUUUGGAGUUAGGAGAUGGAAUAGGAGCUUGCUCCGUCCACUCCACGCAUUGGCCUGGUAUUGCAGUACCUCUAGGAACAGUGCAUCAAAA